UAAUGGUUGAGUUUAGUAAUAGCUCUAAUUAAAUGCUGUUUAAGUGCUUAACACAUGCUAAUCGUACGUUUUAAUUUCUAACAUUAAGUAACUACUAUACAAAAGGUUAUUAAUUAAAAAGUAGUGUAUAGGUCAGUAUAAAGAUAUAAUUCGCCGGCCUUAAAGAGAAGGUAAAUCCUUUAUAAUAAAUAAAAGGGUCUAGUUCCUGCUUUAAGAGGAUGAUAAAUAUCUUCCGGAUAGGUAGUAGUUAAGGUAAUAACUUAACUAGCCGACAACUCUCGUAGUCGAAUCUAAAAGGUUAAUCGACUCUAUUAGGUCUGAAAAAACCCUAAUGCAAAUUAGUAUAGUAGUAAGGAAUUUCGGUUAAUAGCCUAACGGCUGAACUAGCAACUUAGAGAAGUGGCAAGUCCUAUUUUAAUUAUAUCCUAAAAGAUAAUCUAUAGAAUUGUAUUAAAAUUGAAUAAAGCUUUGUUUAUAUAUUGAUAAUAAUAGUAUAUAUAUCGUGUCUUAACUAAUUACGUGCUAGCAGUCGCGGAAAUGCGUAAGAGACUAGUAUUAUUUAUCUUAAUUAGGUUUAAAGGGUACCUAGACGGUUAAUAUAGCUUAUAUAAUGUUAGUACUUAACUAGAGUUUUAUAUAAGAGGGGAGUACUUAAGGAGGAGAGAUGAAAUUCUUUAAUACAAAAGGGACUCGGUAAAGGCGAAGGCACCCCGUUAGGUAAAAACUAACGUUAAGGGACGAAGGCUUAGAGAAUAAACAGGAUUAAAUACCUAAGUAGUCUUUGCAGUAAAUAAUAAAUGCCAUAGAUUGGAUAAAGAAUUUAAUAACUUAGUUCGUUAGUAAACAAUUAAUAUUAAAUCUUGUUUAGUCUAUAAAUAAAAGUGUAAGCAUUCUACCUUAAGAGUAAUAUAGCAACGCAGGAACUAAAAUCACUAGACUGUUUCUAACAAUAGUAGUGCAGUAUGUUGUUUAAUUCGAUAAUAUACGAAAAACCUUACCAUAAUUUGUAUAAUACUAUUAUAGGAGUUGCACGGCUGUUUUUAGUUAAUGUUAUGAAACUAUAGUUUCUAUGUAAUUAACAAAAUCCCUGGCUUUAUUUUUGGAUGCGCUAGUCCCUCCGGGACUAGUAAGCUCUUUUUUUUCCUUAUUUUAGUUCUAAGGCGUAUGAAAGCGCUCUUAGAAUAAAUAAAGAGCUUGCGCCCUAAAAAAGAUUUUUAGGGCUCGCUACUACGAUAAGGCAUUAGAUCCUAGAUAUUUAGAUAGAAAAAGGGGAUAAAGACAAGUCAAUACAGCCUUUAUAUUGUAGGCUAUAAACGUGCUAUAUCUUCCUAGACAAAGAUUUGCAAAAAUGUGAAUUUAAGCUAAUCUUAAAAAAUAGGAUAAAGAAUUUAAGGAUUAUAGUCUGAAAUUCGACUAUAUAAAUAAGUUAUUACUAGUAAUCGUAAAUCACUAUGUCACGGUGAAUUACUCUCGGAUUAGUACUAACCACUCGUUAUAUACUAAAAAGAGCUUAUGCAAUAAGUUUGCUUUCUUAGUAAUUAGUAAAAAAAACAUGUAGGUUUUGUGUAGAUAUGUUAUCUAUAAAUAGCACUAAAGCUGUCUAUUAUUGGGAAUCUUCGUAUGCGCGGUUCUAAUUAGUGUUAAGUCGAAAUACGGUUCGUAUAGUAGAAGUUACACGGGAUUAAUUAAUAU
rfam:Ophiocordyceps sinensis CO18 unplaced genomic scaffold OCS_Scf_1040, whole genome shotgun sequence.